rnacentral:rRNA from 1 species
AGUGAACGCUGGCGGUAGGCCUAACACAUGCCAGUCGAACGGCAGCACAGUAAGAGCUUGCUCUUACGGGUGGCGAGUGGCGGACGGGUGAGGAAUACAUCGGAAUCUACUUUUUCGUGGGGGGUAACGUAGGGAAACUUACGCUAAUACCGCAUACGACCUACGGGUGAAAGCAGGGGAUCUUCGGACCUUGCGCGAUUGAAUGAGCCGAUGUCGGAUUAGCUAGUUGGCGGGGUAAAGGCCCACCAAGGCGACGAUCCGUAGCUGGUCUGAGAGGAUGAUCAGCCACACUGGAACUGAGACACGGUCCAGACUCCUACGGGAGGCAGCAGUGGGGAAUAUUGGACAAUGGGCGCAAGCCUGAUCCAGCCAUACCGCGUGGGUGAAGAAGGCCUUCGGGUUGUAAAGCCCUUUUGUUGGGAAAGAAAAGCAGCAGGUUAAUACCCCGCUGUUCUGACGGUACCCAAAGAACAAGCACCGGCUAACUUCGUG